CAAGUGUUUGGCCGCCGGCUUUGCAGUCCCGGUGUCCAGAGGUCCCUAGCCGGAGUUCCUCCGUAUGUAUCCUGGGAGACGCUUAGUGUAACUUUGAGCCCGGCUGGAUUUCCGACUGUGGCACUCUUGCUGUUCUUGAGCCCACAGGAACAAGCCAUGCUGGUAGGAAAGAAGACCACAACUCCUCAGGCAGCUGGACCCCAUCUUGAGAGGAUACACCUGUGACCUGAGGCUUCCUGCCAAAACUACUAGCCAAGACCAGGGUCUGGAGGAGGAAGUGGUUCUGGAGCUGCUGGGGCUGUGGACGUUCCUCAGCAAGGCUUGGGUCAGCUUUUCCUCCUUAACUCCUUGACCUUGCUGAGGAAGAAGAGAUGACCAGUUCCCAGUGUUGCCAAGUUUGUACCCUUUGUACCAUGGAAGCUGGUGUAGAUGUUUGCUCACUGAAGAGGAAUUACUGUUCAUUGGUGUCUUAAGAACACGUUACAUUCAAGGAUGUGGCCGUGGACUUCACCGAGGAGGAGUGGGGGCAGCUGGACCCCGCACAGACGGCCCUGUCCAAAGAGGUGAUGCUGGAGAUCUAUGGCAACCUGGUCUUAGUGGGAAAGAAACUUUAUGACUGUGCCGAGUGUGGCAAGAGCUUCAGUCAGAGCACAGACCUUCACAUCCACCAGAGAGUCCACACGAGAAAGAAACCUUUCGUGUGUGAUACAUGUGGCAAAGCCUUCAGUUAUAACAGGAAUCUUCACGUGCAUCAGAGGGUCCACACAGGAGAGAAAGCUUUUAAGUGCGAGGAGUGUGGCAAGGGCUUCCAUCAGAGCCCCAACCUUCGCAUCCACUGGAGAGUCCACACUGGAGCAAAACCGUACAAAUGUGGAGUGUUGUGAGAGCUUCAGACAGAACCUAGACUCCAAGAGCAUCAGAGGGUCCACACAAGAGAAACCAUUUUAAUGUGAAACCCUUAAAGUACAAGCUUCCGUGCUCAUCAGAAAGUCCACACAGGAGAGAAACCUGUAGGUGUGAGGAGUGUGGGAAGGAUUUCGAUCACAGUGAAUCUUCACGUUCUCCAGAGAAUGAAACUGCAGGUGUGAUGGGUGUGUGAUAAGGGUUUCUUCAGUUAGAGCUUAGAUCUUCAAGUUUAUCUAAGAAUUAAUACAGGAGAAAACCCAUUUAUAUGUGCUAAAUGUAGUAAGGGCUUUGGAAAGAGCACUAACCUUGAGUUCCAUAAGUCCCCACAGGAGAGCAAUUUUACAAAUGUGCAAGUGUGGUAAAGGGUUUCUUAAGAACACAGAGCUUCUCUGCAGAGCGUCUACUCAGGGGAGAAACCAUUGAUUUCAGUGUCUGUGGUUGGGGCUUCCGUUACAGCACAAACCUUCAUGCACAUCAGAGUCCAUGCGCGGUAGAGACCCUGUGUGCGUGAGAAGCGAGUCAGGCCUUCACAUCCAUUUGACUCCAGGUGGGAGAAAACCAUGCAGGUGUAGGUAUGUGCGUAUCUCCCCCUUCCCCAGAGAGCCUGUUUCUACCACGAUUCUGGCAGCUCCAAGAGAGGGCAGCUGCGUGUGCUUUGCUCGCCAUUGUGUCCCCAGCUCCUGGCACAGUGCCUGGCAGGAGUAGCCACCUAGUAAAUAUUUGUUGAAUGAGAAUCCAUGUGGGAGAGAACCCCUGUUUGUGUGAUAGCGGGGUAAGGACUUCAAGGUCAACAUGUUGAAGCCUUUUCAGAAAGUGUGUUCACAGUCAGAUCAUGGGUUUUGUCAUGAGUUAAUCCCUGCAGGAGAGAAAUCCUGUGAACCUGAUGAUUAUACUAAUGGACUUAGAGAUAAAUGAUCAAAUUAUUAAAUCGGUGUAGUAAAUUUAAAAAUACAUGUCUUCAGCAUAAGAAUCCACACCCCCAAAACUGUAUCAGCUGUGAAAAUACUUUAGUCAAAACUCAUACAUUAAAAUGUGUAUCUAUUCGGGAAAAAAAAUCCUGUGUAUGCCCUAAUGAAGUUAUGUGUCAGGCUCUGGACUGACCACCUCCGCAUAAGGGGGACUCCACCAGAAUCUGGUAGCAGUAGCUCUUCUUUUGUUUUAUAUUUCAUCUCAAAGAGGUUUAUGUUAGACAUAACCAAUGAGUUAUCCAGGGCCAAGGAUUAACAAGGCCUUCCUUUUGGGAGAGAUGCCCCUUACCUGGCAAAGUGCCCUUCUAGGCUGGAAGCCUCCUGGCCCUGAUUGAGUGUCUCCCUGCCCAUCAUGUCAUCAGGCUGCUGGGAGCUUUGCACCAUGGAUUGUAGAAAUUCCCAGGUGAGGCAUGUUCAGGGUAAGUGUCUAUAGAAGAGAUAGCUAAAAAAAGGGGGGCUGGGUCAGGGUUUACAGAGGGGAGUUAGAGGAGAGGAAAGCAAGUCUGAAACGGUAGGGAAUAGUUAGAAGAAAUAGGAAAAGAACAGUGCCUGGGAGGUAGUUGGGAGGGGUCAUAGGGGUGGGAAGCCCCAAGGCUUCUCCUAAGUCUCCAGCAAGUGUCUCAACCUCCAGUACAGGGCUCUCCUUGGAGAUCUGUGCUAACCAGAGUGUGGUCUGUAGUGGGUAGAGAUGGACCCCAGUGGCAUCAGGGCCAGUUGGGGCAAGAGGUGGAAGAGUUGCUGUGAGGGCGCUUGGAAGGCAACUCUAUGCCCCAUCAUUUCCCCACGUGGCCCAAGUCAGGCGGGACCAUUAUCCCUCCAAUAGAAGGAAGGAUCAUAUAUGCAGGCAAUAGUAAGCUUGACCCCC